rnacentral:lncRNA from 1 species
UUUUUUUUUUUUUUUUUUUUUUGCCCCUUCUCCAUGGUGGUGUUUGUUUCAUUGGUUGAAGAGAAGAAAAGCCGAAAAGUGGGGAACCAGCCCAAAACAUUUAAUAUUAAGGUGAGGGAUCAAAUGAGAAUAAAAAUUGAUUCAAUUAUUCAAGUGGCGAAUCAUCAAAAUUAUCAUUCUCAGAUAAUAUAUAUAGAAUGAUGACUAAAGUGUAUCACUAGAAGCCAAAGGAAUCUUACCAAUUCUCCCCACGUCUGGAGCCGUCGAAUAUUAUCGAAAAAGGACAAAAUGUUUAUCUAUGGCUUCUCGUUGCUUGUUUUUUAUUUUCGACUCCAAUAUAAUAUCGCAAUAUGCUUGGGAAAAUAAAUUUACAAGAAAUAAGUUGUCCAAACACGACACACAUCUUUUAUUAUGAGUUUACUAAGUUUGGAUGAAAAGGCAAAUUUCACACACAUGUUUUGAACGAAAUCAACCCAAAGCAUGGCAUCCAACUCUCUGUGACGUGAAGUACAAACAUAUGAAAGUGCAACAUAAAAUACCCGAGUGCUAUUUUUCCUUCCCCGCGAAACCAAUUCGUUAUUCCUAGUCCUAAGUAGCAAGUACUAUUCUCCGAUGCCUAUUCUACAUCAUGACAGUAAUAGCUAGUUUGUGAGAAAGGUUAAGUUAUGAGAGAAAAGAAAGGAUAAGAAAAAGAAGAGAAGAGAUUUUAAUGUUGUUUGGGAGUUUACGAAAGAAAAGAAGUGAUUUUGGACACAUAAGUAAAUAAAUAUUUCAUUCAACAGCUUUUUAGGGGUAGAAUGGGCAAUUUAAAAAACUUUUUGCUGCCUUUCCGUGCUUUCCUUUGCUUUCUGUCCGAUUUGGGCCGGAAAUUUUUUUAAAACUGUAGCUGUUUCUUCCUUCUUCCAAUUCCGUCGGUUUCUUUCCCUUUCCUUUCACUUAAAACUCUCAAAUGUGGGAGACGCAACCUUUCUCUUCUAUUCCUUUCUUUUCUGUUCAAAUCUCAUCUCCCAAACUAGCUAUAAGUCUUAUUCUUGGGUCCGUUUGAAUGGUUUAUUUUAAAAAAAAUGUAUAUUCAUUUUGUCCCAUUGAAAGUGUCAUACUUUUUAUUUAAUUUUAGAAUGUCUCAAAAUAUUUGUCAUGUUAAAAAAAAUUAAAACACCUUUUAAUCUUUCUUUCCAAUAUAACUAUUCUUUCUAAUCGUAUGCAUGUUAUCAUUUAAAUUUAAAAUUUGAAUUUGUGAAGGUAAGAUUGAAAAGAGAAGUACAAAAUUCACAUUGAAACCACUAUUUUUUAAAAGUUGGAUUCCCGAAAAUGACUAAAUAAUUAGGACGGAGGGAGUAUAAAAUUUUCUUGUAAUUUAUUGUAUAAAUUGUUUAAAAAAACUUUUUUGUUUUUUUUCUAGAGAAUAUGUGAAAAUUUUUUUUUUUUUUUUUCCUUUUCUCUCUUUUCUUUUUCUUUAUUUACUUUCUUCUUCUUUCUCCUUCCCUGCGUCGGCCUAUCAGUGGCACCAGCAUUGCCGCCACCCCUCCCCCUCUCCCCGUUUUAAUUUCUCUCUCUUCCCCUCCGUCUCUCCCUCAUUUUCCUCUUCUUCCUUCCUUCUCCUUCCCUUUGGCGCAAUCCUCUGAUCACAUCCUCCUCCUCUUUCCUCCCUUUUCAAUUCACCCUCUCUUUCUCCCUAAGGAAAGGAAGAAAAAAAACUUUGUAUAGUUUUAGAUAUUGUCAAGUGUGUAUUUUUAAAAAUUUGAGAGGUUUUUAAAGAGUUCCAAUAGACAAAAAAGUUACAAAAUUUUAUGUAUUAAAAGCAACCCCAGCGUUGCCAAACAUUCCAAACAGUUGUGGUUGUGGCAUACUACUGGGGCCCAAUCGCCCGAAGCUAUGGAACUAGCUCUUCGGGCGAUUGACGCGCUUAAGGGAAGCGCGGUUGCACACACGCAACAUACACUUCUAUCCCUAUGGAAUAUCUUUGCAGAGCCUUCCUUAUGUGGCGAGGAAAGUGGGGGGACUUUCUUUAAUGAGUAACCCAAGCCGCAUGCAUCCAACGGUUAUAGAUUAACUUAACUAGUCACUUGCGCCAUUGUUCCAUUAGUUAAAAGCUGAUCUAAGGUUGGAGAGUUGUCUGAGAAAAUGAGCUUUUAGAAGAAAUUAAAAUACAGAAAAUUUGGGGAAAAUAAAUAAGAGUUAAUAGCAGGUAUGAUUUAACAAUGCAAAUGACUUCUCCAAAUCUCGCCAAAUGGAACUUAAUCUUAUCGGCAAUCCAUCGCAAAUGUUUUAGUUCCAUGAAUGUAACUACUCCCAAAGCUCUUCGGUCCAAGCAUUUAAGUUCCCUUUCUUUUAAUUUCUCUUUCUAAGCACGUUAUCUUGAAAUAAAUUGUGAUCUAAAUAGCAUAUGUCUGAAAACCAGAAACAAUUAGGAGGGAAAAAGUUAGUGUUCCACGAGGAGAAGGAAGGCAACAUUAAUCGCUAGUUUGGGAGUUUAGAAUAUAAGAGAAUAUGUAAUUUAUGUACUUUUUCCGUCUCGUAAAAUUUAUCAUUUUUUUUAGAGAACGUGUAAUUUAUGUAUAAUAAUAUUAAUAGACAAGAGAAUCUUUGCUUUCCUCUUAUAAAUGGUGGAUUAUCUUUUAUUUGAUGUAUUGAUAAUUAUGAAAAAUAAGCGAUAGACAACAUAAAAGAUAAAGAUAAAAUUUCAUUAAAGAAAUAAAUUAUUUUUUGUAAUAUUACAAUUAAUUUAAAAUAAAAAAACGAUAAAUAUUUAUGCGACGGAUAGAGUUAGCAGCGUACUAAAUUGCUGGCUACAUCCAAGGAAGAAAAGCGAACGUACUCCCCAAUAAAUUAAGCCUUCAGAAUUGAGAAUCCUCUGAAUUGACGCUGGAAAGUCCAUCGGUUGGUGAAUUCAAAACAGGGUGGGUCAAAUGCUUCAAAAGAUCUGCAGUAAUGGUCCAACUAACGUCCCCACUAGCAUUCAAAAAAAAAAAAAAUCUUUUUGUAAGUUUACAUAUACUAAGUAAUUGUCGAAACAAAUAUUAUAUUAUAGCAAUACGGCCGCUAGGAUUGUAAUUGAGUCGAGUCGAGCUCGAGUAUCGCCAUACUCGAACUCGACUCGACAUACAAAUAGGGUGCUCAAGCUCGAGCGAGUAGUAUUAUUGGAGCUCGAGCUCAAAACUUGCUCGCAGUACUCGAGCUCGACUCGCAUGGGCUCGAGUCCAUGCGAGCCUUUCGAGCUCGAUUUAUUAAAUUUCAUUUUCUUGAUAAUUUUUGAGCGAAAUGACAUUAUUGUUCGUUUAAAAUUUUUAUAUGACUUGAAACAUUUCGUAAAUUCGAUAAUUCUUUUGGAUAUAAGGAUAAUUUUAUAAUAAUAAUAUAUUAAAUAAUUAAAAUUAAAAUGCUCGAUAAGGCUCGUCGAACCUUCGAACAUCGCUUCUGGAUGUUCGAACUCGAUUCAAUAGCCUUAUCGAACUGCUCGAACUCGACUCGAACUCGGUUUGAUCGAAUUCGAAUCAAGCUUUUGAGCUCGCGAGCAGCUCGGUCCGAUUACAUUCCCGCAAGAUAGUAUGAUAAAUUUGUACAGGCGUUGAAAUUUCACGAAAAGGAAGCAACGGAAGUUGGACCCCGACCGAUUAACUGCCCGUGGAAUUUCUCCAGAAUAACAGUGGACGGGAGAGGAUGGAUUAGACAUGAGCUAGUGAUUACUCCACAUUUUCCCGAGACAAACAAAUGUUUAGUUGGAUUUGAUGUUACUUACCUUUCCUCUGUCCUAAAUUCUAUACUAUAUGCGUCAGAAAUUCUUUUUUCAUUUUCCUUUUCUUUUUCUUUUGGUGGUGGUAGGAAUACGUGUCAGAAUGAUAACCAACAAUUCACUGUCAAUUGUACCUCUAGCGUUCCAGGAGAACAGAAAGAAUUAUCCUUUGUAUUUCAGAAUGUGCAGAAUUGUUCAAAUUUUCCCUACUGGGAUUAUUUAACUCUUUUUUGUUUUUCCAGUUAUUGACAUUUUUAUUGCUAACUAAAAGAAUUAUUACCGAUUCUGUUCGCUUCCAAAAUACUAGAAAAAUUGAUAUCUCAAACUCAGCUUCAAAGUCAGACCAUUCGCUUCGCAUGCUUUUCUUCCUCUUUGACUACGACCUUUUCUUCUCAUACUCCUUUGAAUCCUCCCCUCUCAUUCUCCAUCAAUUCUCUAUCCACACAUGACUCUCGACUGAAUGUCAAUACUUCAAUGUACGAUGUAGUAGUUAAUGACGGAGCUAAGAGGGCUGAUAGGGGUCAUGGCUCCUCCUAAAGCUGAUCUUCCUAAUUUUUUACAAUUUUUAUUUUGACAAUUUAUAUAUAUUUAUAAUUAAAUUUAAUAUUUAAUUUUUUCAGAUGUCAUACAUUUAAAUGUAUGGAAAUUAUUUUGAACCUAACAUAUUAAGAAAAUUUUGACUCCUCUAGAAAAAAAAAAAAAAAAUCAUAACUCCGUCACUGUUAGCAGUACGUCCUCAAAAGUUUAAUCAGGAAAGUCACAAAAUCGAGUCCUAGAAAACUUGAAGUAUAAGACAAUGAACAAAACUGUGAAGGAUGUAGCACAUAUCAUAUGCAUCGUGGAAAUCAUGGAGAAAGAAAAGGAGGAGUGGAGAGAGUUCGAGAAGGGGAAAAAAAUCAAGAAAAAAUGGAUCUCUGAGAAAUUGACUUUAUGCUUUAAAGUCGGCCUCUAUGAGUCGACCAACGAUAUUUGUUAGGUUUUAGUGAAAAUAUCAAUAUUUUAGCCCCCCCCCCCCCCCCACCCCCCAAAAAAAAAAUCAAAUAUUUGAGCAGAUGACCCUACUACAAACAAUGAAGCCGAUCUCUUUGAAAUCGAUCAACAAUGUUGUUGUUAUAGUAAAAAUGUUCCACCAUAAUGCGAGCGAUGCUUGUCAACAUAUAUAAUUGUUUUGCUUGCCAAUUCUAUCUACUUUGUUUCAUGUGAGACAUUUUUUACAAGAUAGUAAAAAGUAUAUUAGGACAACUCUUCGAGUACGGAUUCAAGGAUUUGAUCUCCUCUUGAUCAUCUUGUUGGUAAUUGGCAUACUUUCCUCCAUCAUUAUUCCCUGAAAACAUUGAAAAGUGCUGUAGCUAAUUCUAUCGGUAGAUUCGGAGUUUCCUUUUAAACAAAUUUAUUCAAAGUAAUUACUUUGUUCCCCUCUUUUGUACUACGUCAUCGAAGCAAAGAAUGUAAAAACGUCUUUAUACGUGCGCAUUUAUGCUAGCACGGAAAUAACUCAACCAAAAAAAAAAAAAUGUAUGGUACGUACCAAUUGUUGUCCGCGAUAAAGACAACCAGCCUUUACCUGUUCGUAAUACUAUUUAGCACUAAUUUUUUCAUUAAUUUUGAGUGUGUUUGGACAGUAAAUUAUUUGAGAUAAUUUUAUGAAAAAAUACCGUAGCACAUUUUUUUGAUGUGAUGUAUGUGAGAUAAAAAAGUGAUUGAAAAAUGUGUUGAUGAUGUAAUUAAAUCAGUGUGUGUAAAUAAUGUGCAUUCCAAACAUACUGAAUUGUUAGCGGUUAAAUCGAUGCAGUUGAAUUUCAUCAUACUUUUCACUUCAUAUUUUUUAUAAGAUCUUCAGUGCCUUGAAUGCGUAAAAUCCCUUCCUUGCAUGUUCUACAGCUGCAUGUUCUGAAUUUGUUAGAUUUAUCAAUAAUGGUGAGAACUAGUGCUACAACAAAACAUUGUGCAAAAGGGCUGGCAAUUACAUAAACUUUUAAAAAUCCAUUUAACUUAUUUAAUAAUUGCAAUGAGUGCAAAGGAAUAAAACCCCGCAAGUUGGUGAUCCUAUCGAACUUUAACGACGCAAAAGAAUGAGUUUUUUAAUCAUAUUUUUAUAUUUUCAAUUAACUUUUGUAUUCAUAUAUUUUAAAACAAAUAUUACAUUGAUAUUUUAAAACAAAUAUUCAAAUAAUCAUCUAUUCAAAACACAUUCGACUCUCAAAAAGGGCAAAAAAAAAUCUCUGUGUCCUGCCAACUUGACUGCAACUGUACAUCCGUGUAACCGGCUAUAGUCGGUAAACCAAGUUGAACUUGAACGCAUUGUCAAAUCGGAAGGAAUUGUGACGGCCAACGUCACGGGACAACUGAAUCCUGAUCUUUUUGUGCCUUUUUUCAUUUUAAUUCUCGGCGCCGUUAAUGUAGGAGUUCGUGACCCUCGCCUGCAGUUGUCUGAACCGUUGGAUCCUAUGAUCUUUUCAACAGAUUGCAUGUCAGUGCACGUGUCCUCUCACGAUUUGAGAGUUUGCCCUCCGCUUCGUAGUUGAACAGAGCACGUGAUCCAAAUUGUACUACUGCUGCCGCCGCCGUCGGGUAUGCGAAAUGAUAUCAUUGCCAUUUUUCGCGUCUUUGAAUUUCUAUUACGUCAAUUUAAUACACUAAAAAGUUCGGAAGGCACGAAAUUUGACCUGUUUUCCAUUUGUGAUAUACUCCCAAACUUCUUACUAUUAUUUAAAAAUUUUGUACACCUUUCACUUUUGUUUGGAAAACGAUUUUUCACUAAAAAAAUCUAUACGUUUUUUGCAAAUAUAUUUUUGAAUUAUUUUUUAUCUCACAUAUAUCAAUUCGUUACAAUACAAUUUUUUACAAAAAUUCCAGAAAAUUACUAUCCAAACACGACCUAAUAAAUUUUUUUAAACUUGUUUUUCGUUUGCAAUAUACACCCAGACUUAUUAGUAUUUAAAAAUUUCUACACCUUACAGUUUGUGAAGCACUUGUUUUUCGUUUGUGACAUACAUAUACACCCAAACUUAUUAAUAUUAAAAAUUUUGUACACCUUGCAAUUUAUGAAAACUGAUUUUUUGUUAACUUGUUUUUCGUUUGUGAUUAACCUUAGUUAGGUUUCUAAGGAGUGCAGCAGAUGUAAUUAUUGGCUGAUGGGAGCACGUGCCUCGCUGGUCUAAAGAAAACACCUACAAUAAGUUUGAAAUCUGCUAAGGAUUAUAGUUUGGCAGAGUACUGGUGGUUUGAGAAUAUGUGGAGCUUAGCUCGAUCAUAAACAAACCCAAUGUGGCAUGAGUGUGUUUGGAUAGUAGAUUUUUUGAGAAUUUUUUUGAAAAAUACUGCAACAUUUUUUUUUAAAAUAUGAUAUAUGUGAGAUAAAGAAAUUGUUGAAAAAUAUAUUGUUGAUACAGGCAAAUAAAUUUGAUAAAUAAAACACUAUCCAACUUUAUAAUGUCAUAUGGCAAAUUAAGUGACUUGGCCAUGUGAUAAAUGUGGAUUCGUUAACAUUAGAACGAAUAGAAUUUCUCGACUCAAAAAUUCAGAUUUGUCUUGUAAUAAAUUACGUGUUUGAAUACCAAAAGCUUUUCCAAAUAUUAUUUUAAUUGUAUCACAAACACGUGUUUCCAUAAAUCCAUAUUAUAGUCUACUUUCCAACUGAAAAAUAUAAUUGACUUAUAACUUCUCAAAAAUACCCUUAUUUAUUGUACUUUGUUAUCAGUGAGUAUAACAUACCUUGUUCAUUGAUUACUUGGAUUUAUACCUUGUGCAGUACAACUUUUCAUAGUAUUUUGUUGUUCUAAUUUUUGUAAAGAUAUAGUGACUAGUUAUACUCUCAAUAUCAAUGUAAGGAUAUUUUAGAAAAACAGUAAAUCAAAUUUACUCUUUCAAUAAAAUUACUAAUUUUUUAAAUUUGCAUGAAAAAAAGGACUAAGGUGAUUAAAGUGGAAUGGAGGGAAUAAGAUAUAAUGCGAUAAAAAUUAUCGAAGUUACUUAUCCAGACACAUUAUUGUAAUUCGGAAGAGAAAAAGUGUGAAAGGAAACCCGGGAACUCUGUACCGGAUUAUCCGUGGCAUCAUUCGACCCACUUCAUCAAAUGCACUCGAGCAACUCUAGCCGAUGGACUAAAAGUGAAUGUUUUGAAGGCCUGAAACAAAGCCCAUAAACCAUUAUACUAUCAGGCAGGCCUAAUUUCAUCAGUUGGCAUGGACGUCCACAGGCUACUCAUCAACGCUGACUUAAUUUCAGUGGGGCCGUAUACUGUACAGACAAAUAAAUUAUAAUGCAAUUUCGGUUUUGAAAAACAAAAUUUAAUUGCACUAGUUGUUAUAUAUCCAAUAAUUACAGUGCGUCUAUUGUCAGUGUAUAAAAAAAAUCAAUCCAAAUUUUAAAAGUUAUUAAAAUUGUUCCUUAAUUGUCUUCUUAAGACUUGUAAAAUUAUAGUUAAUUGCGGGUCUCAUUUCAAGAAUAAAAUAUUUCAAAGUUUAUAAUUUAAAAAAAAAGAGUGAUCUUCUUCUACCUCUAAAUUUAAGCACAGUAUAAAAUUGAAAGCACAUUAAACUCAGGGGAAAAAAAGAAGAUGUAUAUACAUACAUCCAUGAGCUGUAACUAUACUAGUAUCACCGAGUUUCAUGUCCAGUGGAGAUUGAUCUAACUGCAUGAUCAAUUUGACGAUCUAACUGCAUGAUCUAACUGCUCCGUAAGUGUGGUUGUUACGGAGCUCAUGAUCGAUUGCGUCCGUUGCCGAUUAGGUUCAGAGAAUCAAUUUGACGUGGGCAGAAGAAGCAAACGGCAUCGUAGCAUGAACAUACCUAGACGGAAACUUCAAAAAGAAAAUAAAAGUGAGAUGAGACUUUCAGGGAAAAAAAAAAAUAUGAGACGCUGCCCCAUGACAAAGAAAUUUCACGAAAAAAGUAAGUAAAAAUUGGGGGAUGUACGGUGGAUGGUGCAGUGAGAGGGUAACUGUCUCUUUUUCUCUGGGGUAGAGUAACAGAAUAAGAGUAAUCGGCGGGUGGUGCAUUUGCGCGUUUAUGUCACUGUGGAUGUGACACUAAUGGGUGCAACCUUUGAAUUGAGAGAGCCAACUCUGAAUUUUUGAUUUGAUGCAGUGCGUGUUCGCAGGAAGCCAAAUGCAGACCACUCAUCCUACCAACCACGACACACUUUUUUUUUGUCAGCACAGGGUGUUCGGAUCAAUCUUUACGGGCUACCCUGCGGAGGCAAAAAUCAGCCACGUAAAGUGACAAGUUGUGGGAAGCAGGGGUUGAACCCCUGACCUCCAGCAUCUCCAAAGAAGGGGAUGACCACUGGACUAAAGCCACACCCUUUUCUUUUCCGUUUCCCCUUUUUUAACCCAGAAAUCUCAAUAAAAAAUCUUAAGACUUCCUGGAGUUGAGGCCAAUGACGGCCGGACCAGGACUUUUAGGUUAAGGUAGCGAGUAGUCAAACAUGUAGUAAAAAAAUGUUAUAACAAAUGAAUUAUAACAAACUUAAAAUGAAAGCUUGAUAGAGGAUAACUAGUGAUAAGGUGUUUUUAGUUGUACAAAAGCAAAUAUAAACACAUUAUUGUAUUUUAUGAGUGGUACUGUAGAUUUCAAAAAUAAAAAUAGUUUUUCAAAAAAAAAAAAGUAGUAAUUCAAACAAAUUGUCCGUUAUUAAGGUUUGGUGAGGUGGAAAGUCAAACCUUGCCUCUUAGAUAAAUUAGGAGUGGUGGUUCAGUCCCCACUUGUCUCGCCCAGCUGGAUCUCUCCUUAGAUAAAUUAGGAUAAAGUAAAAUAUAGAUAAAAUAACGUUGAUGAAUGACAGAAAAGAAAAACAGAAUGCCCGUUAUUCACUCAAGGCAGAAGUUCCCUUCUUUUCUGAUUCUGCGUUAUCAACUAGCGGAGAACAUGAAAAUUCCAGUUGUAAUUUGCUAAUACCAUUUCGUUUUGGAGGCAAAGGGCCGUAUAACCAGCGCUUUCUGUUUAAAAUGGGGGAAAUGAAUCAGUUAGAGGAAGGUGGCAUACGGAAAAACGCAACUCAGAUGUUUUGUUUUUCGACAGACCCCAAAAAAAUAAAAAAAAAAAAUUGUGAACGUUAAGUACUCUUGAUCCAACUAAUUCCUUUGGCAUUUUGGUUUUGGUAAUUGCCUCACUUGGUUGCAGUAGAAUUAGAGAAGUAAAAACUUGACAAUCUCUACUACUCGGUACUUCCACUCUCCAGUCUCUCUUCACUCUUGCUUGACCCAUUCAUUCACAUUCACCUGCUGCGCUUCCUCCGCUCCGCCGUCGUCCUGCAGCUCUCUGUUCAUUUUUUUUGUUAAAAAAAAAAAUCUUCAGCUAAAUUAGUAGGGGGGAAAAAAAAUCACUCCAUAGGUAUGGAGAGGGCGCCGUUGCUGAGCGGAAGCUAUUACGAUGGAGGAGAAGAGCUGGUGGGGCCAGACGGCGAAUACCGGCAGGCGAGAGGGCUGAAGGAAUGGUGGUACGUUUUCCGGAUCGAAACGGUGAAGCUGUGGGCAUUAGGGCUGCCCAUAGCGUUGAACAUCAUCUGCCAGUAUGGGAUGAAUGCGGCGACCACAAUGUACGUUGGACACCUGGGAGACGUGGAGCUCUCCGCUAUCUCUAUUUCCCUCUCCGUCAUCUCUACCUUCUCUUUCGGCUUCUUGGUUAGCUGCUCAGCUUAGCUCCCUUCGCACCACUCCCACACACACACACACACACACUCUCUCUCUCUCUCUCUGCCCGUCAGUUGUAGAACUACUACAGGUGUCACCGAAUUUGCAUGUAGUACUACUACUUCUUAGAUGUCUGUAUACAGUAUUCGUACGGGCACGUGUGUGUGUAUCGGCAAGGCUCCUUUUUCGAGUUGUUUUAGUCAGGCACUAGUUGCUGGCAACCAAAUCUAAGGAUUUCUGUUGCGCAGGAGUGCCCAGUUUGAUCGUCUUGUUUGUCUUUUGCGAAAAUAUGACUUAAUAUGCAUUUCUAAAGGAAAAAAAAAUGCAUUUCCAAAAAAAAAAGAGAAGCAUUUCUAAAGUUGUUCCUCGGGGGGAAGCGAGAGCGGCUCAAAUUGUUGUACUUUAUCCACUUGAUGCAUUUCUCCUUUUCUUCUUUUUUUUUCGAUUUAAUUUUGCUUAUUUUUUCUUCCAUACCCAUAUUCUUGUUGCAUUCCUGUACAUUUUCAGAGGAAAUUGACUUUUAUUUACCUUCUCAAGUUUUUUUUGGAAAAAAUUACCCUACCACAUCCACAAAUCGACGAGCUGCACAGAGUAAUUUGAGCUUUGUGAGUAGUAGUACUUCAGCGACAAAUUAAGGGCGUGCCCCGUUCUCAGAUUCUUAUUUUUUUUUUUAGUAUUUAAUCAAAAAAAAAAUAAAACAGGGAGUGAGAGAGAGAGAGAGAGAGAGAGUCCAAGGCAGCACCAUUUAUUGUGUUUGUAAUUCUUGAUAAAUAGCAGAUAUGUAUGUAAUUCUUGAUAGAUAGUUUGUCUCAUCAAAUCCAUACAAAUUUACUCGUAGCUUGGGAUGGGGAGUGCUUUAGAGACGCUAUGCGGUCAAGCAUUCGGUGCCAGGCAAGUUCAUAUGCUCGGUGUUUACAUGCAGCGGUCCAUGAUUAUUCUGUUUGUCACCUCUGUCAUCCUUUUGCCGCUCUACAUAUUUGCUACCCCACUCCUCAAGCUCCUUGGACAGCAGGAACAGAUCGCAGAUCCUGCAGGAAAAUAUUCCAUCCUCAUUAUCCCUCAGCUAUUUUCCCUGGUUGUUACUUUCCCAACCCAAAAAUUUCUUCAAGCCCAAAGCAACGUGGCUAUCACAGCAUACAUUGGAUUAGUUGCUUUGCUCCUUCAUGUUCUUUUGCUCUGGCUUUUCAUCUAUGUGCUUGGCUGGGGAAUCACUGGAGCAGCCGUGGCAUUUGACAUUUCAAACUGGGCUAUUGCAAUUGCUCAAUUCUUUUACGUCAUCGGUUGGUGUAAAGAUGGGUGGAAGGGAUGGUCAAUUUCCGCAUUCAGGGACAUAUGGUCAUUUGUUAGGCUCUCUCUUGCUUCAGCAGUUAUGCUUUGUCUGGAGAUCUGGUACAUGAUGAGUAUCAACAUCCUCACAGGUCACCUUCAUAAUGCCGUGCUUGCAGUUGGUUCCCUAAGCAUUUGGUGAGUUUUAACAAGCAUUCUAGAUGGUGCAUACAUAUUAAUUAGUUGAUGUUCCAGUAGAUUCUGCAACGAACUGCUUUAGCAGCCUGUUCAUGAUUAUCCUAUGUGGCUCUGUCACUGAACUAACUUCUCUGAUCCUCCUUUACUUUUGGCAAUUUUAACGUCUUAUCUGAUGUUUUACCUAAUUUUAUUUCUUUAUCUUUCAGCAUGAGCCUCAAUGGAAUUGAAGCCAUGAUAUUCAUUGGAGUAAAUGCUGCAAUAAGGUAACAUGGCACACGUUACUCUGGAUUUUUCCAUUUCUAGAUAUCUUUUGUAGAACUGGCAGAUAUUCAAGACGAGCUUAUGAUUUACAGUACGUAUUCAACCUUUCUUUUACGAGGUCGCAUUGUCCCUUCGUUGUUCAAAGUCAAUCUUGAGAAUUGCUAUUCUUUUUCUCUCAGCUUCUUGAAGAAUCUCCAUGACAGUACUCUCAUGUCAAACUGUUUUAUUUAUCGUAAUCAGAUGUCUAGGACCGUAUUUGGUUUUUGGCGAAUUGGACUUGUAUGUGUAAUGUGUCUGUGGUCUUUUGCUGGGUAGUUUUGUGUGGCCUUUUUGCUGGGCGGUUUUGAGUGGUGGUAACUGGAGGAUGCUAGGGUCCAAUAUAUCUGUUGCUUUUAGUACCCAAAUUGUGUUUUCGCAUUUCACCUUCAGGUAGAUUUCAGUGCAAAUCUGAUGUCAUGGACAGAGCUGUAUAGAUCACCUUACAGACAGUUUUGUUUGCUUCCUUUUGCCUUUUCAUUUGCAGUGUUCGAGUCUCAAAUGAGCUUGGGCUUGGACAUCCAAGAGCAGCCAAGUAUUCAGUGUAUGUUACAGUCUCUCAGUCCCUCCUGAUAGGGAUUAUUUCCAUGGUGGUUGUUCUCCUGGCCAGAAAUCACUUUGCUAUAAUUUUCACAAAUAGCACGGAUAUGCAAAAAGCUGUUGCCAACCUUGCUGACCUUCUUUCAAUAACAAUGGUUCUCAACAGCGUUCAGCCAGUAAUAUCAGGUAUUUCGUUAAUUUGGAUCACUAUACUCCCAUCUACACUUGUGCAUCAGUUUUCUAUCAUACUCCUUGCCCUGUCUUCAACACCACCAUUGAGCAAAGAAUAUUAUAAUCUUCUGCAGGCGUUGCAGUCGGAGGAGGAUGGCAAGCUUUGGUGGCUUAUAUCAAUUUAGGUUGUUAUUAUGUAUUUGGGCUUCCUCUAGGAUUCGUUCUUGGGUAUGUGGCGAAUCUAGGAGUUAAGGUACAUAAAUUUCGAAUCUCUGAUUAAAAAUGCUAGUAAAAAUUUCUGUCUUGCCAACUUUCUACUGUUCAAGUACCUUCUUAACAGUCCCUAGUGGCAACUGUAGUAGCUUUUCCAAUGAUGAUUGCAGGGUAUCUGGGGGGGAAUGAUAGCUGGAAUUGGCCUGCAGACAUUGCUGCUUUUAGUAGUACUUUACAAGACCAACUGGAACGACGAGGUACAGGAAAUGGCAACAUCUCACAAUUAAUAGCGCCACACUUCAGAGGAGAUUCACUCCAAAUUUCUAGGCUAGAUCCACUUUAUUUGCUCAUAUAAAGUUCAAAAACUGUACUUUCAGGUUGACCAGACAUCAAAGCGCAUGCGAGAAUGGGGAGGCCAAGGCGUUGACAGUGAAAAAUUGCAGAAUAAUCAACCUCCAUUUGGAAACGGUCAAACUUGAAUGAGGGCUCUCUUAUUUUCAAUAGAAGGAUUGAUAACAACGCCAUCAUCUCGAGUGUACUCUUCCGCCCUUUCCUGUUCCUAAUUCCUGAACGGCAAACAUGCACGGCAUAAUCUCGCCGCUUUGGAUCUUAUUCAGCAAAAGUUAGCGAACCCUAAGAUUGUAAGAGAACCAUUUGACAUUAUAUUAGAUUUAAAAAAAUUACUCUACCGAUGACAUUAUUGUAUUAGAAUAAAAUUACAGACAUUAUUUCAGAAUAUAAUUUGCAAACAAUUAAUUACAACCGCCCAUAUACCAGAAUGGUGCUAAAUACUGAUUAAGCCUGCCUAACAGCCCAAAACCACAGAGAAGCGUAUAAACUUUCAUCACCAUCAAACCGCUCAAAAUGGGUUCGUACCCAGCAAAAACAAUGGAUCUUUGUCCGGCCACCUAUUUCAUGUCGUCUAAAUGCUCUUCGACACACCAUUAACUUACGAUGGACAAGUGACUACAGAAAUUCGUUCCAUCAGUUGAACGUACAAAUAACGCUAACCAAAGUAGAAGUGCAGCCUAGUUAGAGAAAAGUAAUGCACAACUUGAACUCAAGGUAAUAUAAUUGAAUUCGAGUUCAACUUCAAUUCAUCUUUUACUCGAACUAGAAUUUAAUUAAAUCUAGUCAAGUCCAAUUAAAUUUAAUCAAGUCUAUUCGAAUAUAAUCUAAUUCACGUUGUCCAAUUAAAACAUAUGAUUUUAAAUAAAAAACAUAAUUGACACUUCACAAUAAUAAAUAUAAAAAAUUUAAAAAUAUAUAUUAAAAAAUGCUCUAUUAAGCUUCGAGUACGAGAAUUUGAGAGUCGAGAUCAACUCGUGAGCUCAAACGAGUAGCUAACGAGUUCAAUCAAUGUGAGCUAGACUCUAAACUAAAGUACGUGAAUUUACUGUACAGUAGAUGAUGCUCAUCUACUGACGGACUAGAUGAUCAAAAAGGAAAAUAGCAUCCGGAAGAGAAUUUUGCAUGAAUAGUCCAAAGACAUAUGCCCCAACACAAGAACCAAAAAGCAACUAAUUAAGUAGAUUAAUAUAACUAAUAAGCAUGUAGCAAAAUAUAUAUGACAAAGCCCCUCCUACAAUUACAGGAGUGUCAAACAAAAUCAUCCAAAAACGCUAAAACACAAAUAGAUUUUGAGUAGAAAAAAGCCCCUAGGCAGCAGCAGCUUUUUGUUUUGUUGGAACUCGGUAAGCACCAACAACACAAGCAUGGUCUCGCUCAAAUGGUUCGAGUGUAACUUGCUCAAUAGGCUUAAAUUGGUCUGCUUUCAGCUUCUUCACUUCUUGGGCAAAUACAGCCUCGGCAGGAGCAGUUGAAUCAAUACAGUUUGCCUGUACAUUUUAAGAAUUGUCAGGCCUGAUGAUCUCUAUUUUGCAGAAGGAAAUUUCAAAUUACCGGGAAGAAAGGAAAGAGAGUUAGUUUAUGUUUGCACAGAAUUACAAAUAUCUGAAAGCAAAAUAUUGAGCACCAUCAGGUAAUAUAGAUAGACAAAUAUCCAAAGUAAGAUGGGAUUGGCAAUAAUCCAUACUAUUUUUUUGCUCUAAUGAUAUCUCACUUCGAAAAUAAACAGCAGUAUACUACAAACCUUGAUGGAAAUCAUGAAAUGGCCUCCAGCUUUCAGGAAGUAAGAUGCAUUUAGUGCCAAAAUUCUUGCCUGCAAAUAAAGAAAUUAGCAAAACUGCAGAGUAGUGAACAGCAAGACCAAAGCAAAGGUUGGGAACAAUACAAUGCCAAGGAAUGCAAAGAACAAUUAUAUUGUAGGCUAACCAACACUUGUUCUUAAGGGCAAUAUUAAUAUUGUAGGCUUUACUUAAAUAAAAAGAUAAAAGCACUUGUCACCCUACAGCAAAUCUUUACUGGUUUUGGAAGAAAAUGUUUAAUAGUACAGGGGAUAGGAAUUAUGAAAACUUCCGAAGACGUCUUUGUCAAACAAAAAGAAAGCUUAUAUAAAAAAACAAGUAUAUUUUCAGUAGUACAUAAGCAUCAGAAACUCGGCUUGUCCAUCAUCCCUGAUGUCUUGAAGGGGAAUCCGAGUAACUCAUCAUCAGCUGAUAGUAUAUCAAAAACAAAUAACAAAUCUGAAAGAACAAAUCAUGGGAACCAAAUCCCCAAACAUGAAGAGAUUGAAGAGCAAGAGCUAAGAAAAUUCAAGAAUAAUAUUUAUAAUCAAAGAAACUCUAGGAUGCCCAUGUUUGAAGUCUGCAUGUGCUCCAUAGAAAUGGUCCCAAAACACAUUCGACACAAUCCGGCAUGCAAAAACAAAUUCAUUUUUUUUUUUGAAAUCUAAAAGAGGUGAAAUAUUAAAAACAUGUACGUUAACAUAAGAGGUGACAAAACAUCAACUAACAAGCCAAUAACCUGAUCAGGCUGAGCAACAUCAGAAAAUAUCACAUCAACUAUUCCUACAAGCAUUCUGUAUUUUGCUGGAUGUCUAGCAUCCUCGAUGAUGGGUAUUACAUUCGUUCGCUUUUUUGCCAUGUUCACCAAAUCCCUGCCACUCCUGUGGGAAAAUUCCACAGCAUACACCAUUCCCUCCUAACAGGUUGAGGAAGAAAAAGAAAUCCAAUAAGUGCAACCAAGACAUAAUUCCGAACAUAUGCUUUUGGUGACAACAGUUACUUACAGGGCCAACGACAUCAGAGACGUGAGAUACUGUGGUUCCUGAAGCAGCUCCAAGGUAGAGUACACGGGCACCAGGUUUCUUUAUGUCAAAAAAUUAUGAUAAAAGCUCAGAAACAUUGAAACUCAACCCUCAGACAGAUGAUAUCUCUAGCUCAUCGUAAAAACUGGAACUGAUAAUAACAGCACUUAGUGCAGACUUACAAUCCAGACGUCGUCGACUCCGCCAAGGAUGGCCGCAGCCAACUUAGAACGGAAUGGAUUCCAUACUCUGUAUUCGACUUUUGACCCAUCUUCGUUCUGAUAAGAAAGGCAAUCCGUCAACCAGUCGUACUGAUUACACCAGCCUACUUUACGAAUCAAUAAACACACGCAACUUUGCCAAUCUCAACAAAUCAAUCAGUUCUUCCAAGCGGAUGGGAAAAAUGACAAAUGUAUAAGAAGUUUUCAAUCCUAGGGCACGCAUACUAAGCAAUCAAUGCGGCACAAAAUACUAGCUUCGCAAGCAUCAUAGUAACUAUAAAAGCAGAACAUGAAAGAGACUGAUCAAUAAAUUGACCAAUGCUAACAACUAAAUUACAUCUGUCCGUGACACCAAUUGUAACAAAUCAAAAGGUGGGCGGGGUGAAGAGAAAAAGGAAACGGCGGCCCAUCAUUUACCUGAACAGAGAUUCUCUUCUCAUUGUAGACAGCUUCACCAGGGACCAUAUUCUUGGUCACAAGAGCAUCUUCUUUACCUUUGGCUAUAAAUACUCCCGCAUGCCUGUGAGGCUCCACCACCACUCUACUCCCUCCCUUCAUCCCUCCUCCGCGACCCCUGCCGCCGCCUCUUCCGCCUCCUCUUCCGCCGGCACCUCUUCCUCCACCGUACUUCAUCGCGCUGCCACCUCUCCCACCAAAUCCACCUCUACCACCACCUCUCCCUCCUCCUCUCCCUCCAUCGCCGCCUCGACCACCCCUGAAUCCACCUCCGCCACCACGCCCUGUAAAAGCAAAAUAAAUAAAAAAAGCACGAACACAACACUCAUUCGAAUUUAUGGAAUCAGAUAAACAUACCUCCUCUAGCAACCAUGGCUGCGGCUAAUGUUUUUUGAGUGUUUAGGUUAGGGUUUUAAGGUGCUUAUGUUAGGGUCUUAAGGUUAGGCUACCAAGACCUUUUUUUUUUCGAGCAUUUUAGGGUUUUAAGAUAAUUUAUAGGGGUCGGCCGUGGGUUCGACGGGGAGAGGUUUUGAAAGCCCUAAGUUAGGGUUUAGGGAUAAUUUCAGAAACCUCCAUUGAGGUUUCUAACAAUUUCACUGUCCUCCCCUGAAUUUUUAGCAAUAUCACUUACCUCCCCUAUAAGUCAUUUGGGGUCCAAUACUUACUCAUGGAUGAUCAAAUAACUUUACUAUCCUUAUAAUUUAGGGAAAUAUUACGUAUUUAUAUGGAGAGAAACAAUUUAAGUCACUUCGUUCUAAAUUAACCAUGAUUUUGAAUAUAAAAAAAUUUAAAAAUCUUAAAUACUAAAAUUUAUAACGAUAAUUGUUAAAAUUUUAAAACUUUUUUCUAUAUUUUAGUAGUUCUUGUAAUUUCCUUCUCCUAAAAAAAUAUUAAAAUUCCUAUUUAAAUAUUAUUAUUCCAUAAAUUUUUCAUGAAAAUAACAAGAUGCAUAUAAAAAUACACAAAAAGAAAGUAAAUGAUUAAAAUAUGUUUACAAUUAUAUUUUUUUAAGUUAUGGAUAAGAUAUAACUACAUAUAAUUUAGUCUUUCCUUUCUUUUCCAAAAUAUUUGGUGUUUUUUUUUCUUUUCUUUGUAUAAGUAAUCCAAACAAGAUAGCUAGAAAAAAUCUACUUUGAUUCAUUUGUUUUUUCAUUAAAAUCAUACUCUUUUAUUAAUCUGAACGUUGCUUGAGAGUUGUUUUUUUUAAUUACAAAUGAUGGAAAUUUCUUGUUAAUCAUAUGAAAUAAUGGAUCCAGUAAGUUAAAGAAAUAAUUCAAAAAAAACAACAUAUUUUAGCAUAUUCUAUAUUUUUUACCAUUAGCCAUCUAUUGUGAUUUUUUUUUUUUUUGUUAAAAAGGCCAUACUUUGUCUUGUUUAAAUCCUUUUCAAAAUCUUUCAUAUUCUGAUACUAACAGCUAGUUUGCAUGGUUAGGUUAGAAAAGAAAAAAUAGGAAAUGUUAAGUUAUAAAAGAAAAGAAAAGAAAGGAAGAGAAGAUAUUUCAAUAUUAUUUGCGAGAUAUGGUAGAAAAAAGGAUGAUUUUGGAUAUAUAUAUAUGUGUGUGUGUGUCAAUAAAAAUUUGUUCAAUACACAUUUGAGAAUAAAAUUGACAUUUAGGAAAAUCUUAUUAGGCAUUCUUAACUUUUUCGAUACUUUCCGCCUCCAUUUGGGCGGAAAAACUUUGGUAACCAUAACAGUAGGAAUUCAUCCGUCCAAAAGAAAAAGUGUCUUUUCUAUUACAUUUUUUUCUUUUCUCAUCAAAUCACAACUCCCAAACUAGUUAUAAUAAUUUAGAAAUUUUUGCAUAAAUCUUGAUUCCAAAUUAACAAGUUUUCCUCUCUAAUACUUUGAUUUUGCUAUUUUAUGUAGUGCUAUGAAAAAUAGUCAUUGUUACUAAAUUCUAUUACACUCAUGCUAGAGUUUGGUCUUUAUUGUCUAUUUUUAACUAAUGAUUUCUUUUGAUAACCAACUAGUAAUAAGUUAAGGGAUAUUUUUUAUAUGAAAUAUUCUUCUUACUCUUGAAAUUAAUUUUUAGUAUUGACUUAUUUUAAAUUGGGCUAAUUUGUUUCAAAAUAUUUGUUUUAAGGGAGUUUAAUAAUAUUUUGAAAAUCUCAAGGAAGGGCAAUGUAACUAUCAUAAACCUCAGGGGAGUUUCUGAAAUUAUCCCUAGGGCUUAUAGAAAAUUGAGCGACUUUCCUUCCGUGCCCCUGAAAUUAAAACUUGCAUCACUCUACGGUCAUCAACUCUCAGCUAUUGACACAUUAAGUCCCUUAGCAGUCCAGCAUCGCAGUCUUUUUUUUUUUUUUUCUUUUUUUUUUUGACGAAUUAAUUAUCUCCAUCCUCCACUUGAGAUUCACCAAUUUAGUACACGAAAAAUACACCCACGUUACAACAUGCGAAACACGUAGACAUAACCACAUCUUUAUUACACCUUAUUUACACACUGACUUACUUGCAUUAUUAACACAUUUUCUAAUUACCAUUUUAUUCCAUAUACAUCAUAUCAAAAAAGUGUUAUAGUACUUUUUUCACAAAAUUAUCUCAAAUAAUUACAAUCCAAAUACACUUAUUUAUAUAUUAAUUUUUUAAAACAACAUUUGCUAUUAGAUGUAACAUAAUAAAUUUCUUCUUAAAGCAUGUAAAUCAGAAAAUGAUGAAAUUUAGACUAGUUUUUUUUUUUAAAAAAAAAUUACAAUGGAAGAGAAGUGGGAUUUAAGAAACGAGGAUGUGGUAAGGGGAUUUGAAGUCAAAAUCUCUAAUUCUUGAGACUUCAAAUAACAUAUUAUUUUUUAAUGACAAGGCAAAUCAUGUUGUGCUUUCAAUUUUAUGGUUGCAAUAUUAUGUUCAUAAUAUGCAAAUGUGAUCCAUUAUACCUUCCUACCACAAAAAAAAAAAAGAAGUUUUUUUUAUAGGAUUCUUUAGAUAACGUUGAAAUUUACAUCAGCAACUGGUAUGUAUAAACUUGAAUUUUCUGGAGAAUAAUAAUUAUAACUAUAAGUUUGUUAAACAAAAUUGAAAAUGAAAACUGGACAAAGGAAGUAUAUAAGUUUAGCGAGGCCGAUUUGGUCAUUGUAUUCUACAUUUCGCAAUAAAUUACACGAUACAUGCAGAGUAGUAAAGCAUCAUUUCUUCUCGUUUCUCGUAAAGUCUAAGUUGCAUGUGAUUGUUGAAUCCUUAAUAGUAAUGUUCAAGCAAAAUCUAUUGUGCAAAAAUAAAAGGAAUAUUUGCAAUAAUCAGAAUAUGUAUUCUACAAUAGUAAUUUUUCUAGAAUAUGUAAGUAUUUCCAAACUGCAUAUGCUACAAUACUUGUUCCACAUGUCUUUCGCAUCAAUGUCUUCAAUAUGUCCAAUAGAUUUAUGAAUAUAAAUAUAUAGUUAUCAAAUUUUAUUUUUUUUAAUUGAUAAUGUAUCAUUAUAUUUUUUACCAUCUCGUCUAGUUGCUGUUUUUCUUGUAGUAGCUGUGUUCUUUCUUCUUGGUCUAGUAUUUGAUUCACCAAUUGCCAAAGUAGAAGAUGGGAAUAAUCUUCACAUUUUCAUGCGCAGUUGUUCCCUUGCCAACUUGAAUUUGAGAAGCUUUUCAUUCAUUUUGAAUAUCUAAAAUGAAAGUCAAAUUCAAACAAAUUAAUUGUUAAAAUUUGUACGUGUUGUGAACUAAAUAAAAGGUAAGGUCAGACACGUUUGAUGGUCAAUUUGCACUUUGAAUUGCUGUAAAUACAAAAGCAUAAUUAUAAAUCAAGAAAGGGUAAUGUUAAUUGUUAUUGGUAGCUUAAAGUUUUGGGGGUUAGACGCAUAUAUAAAAUGUUAAUUCUUUUUCCAAAUAUAUAUUUUUUAAAAGCUUUACCAUGGAAGUAUUUUUUUUAAUAAAUUUCCGUAAUCCCAAACGGGUCAUAAGUGUGAUAAAUAUCAGAUAGAUAAGUGAUAACUAUAUAACUAUAUAAUGGGGUGUUUGGAUUGCCAAAUUUUGAAAGAAAAAUUGUUACGUUUUCCGUGAACAUAUUUUUCAAUCAUCUUUUUACCUCAUAUAUAUCAAAUCGUUACAGUAAUUUUUCUACAAAAAAUUCAGAAAAAUGCAAUCCAAACGAGGCUAUUAUUGUCAAAUACAUGUCAAGCUCUUAAGAAGAUUACAAUCCUUCUGGAAGACAUGGAUGUAGACACAUAUUAGUGGGAAGUUUUUAUCUAAACUAGAGAAGCAUUUUUGAACUUCAAAUCUUGAUCGCUUGUAUGGUAGACAUUUUGAAAAUUGGUUGGCGUAGAAGUGGGUUUUUGUGGGAGGAAGGACGCCGUCGAGUGUUGAAGGUUCGUUGGGUUGGUUUGAGCCCAAAACCAAAUUGGACAGAUCGAAAAAAAAAAAAAAAGGAAAGGAAAGAAUAUUCCAAACCUGUCCUGGAUAAGCCGUGUUCACAACGCGUGGUAAAAGUAUUCCAAACCUGUCCUGGAUAAGCCUUCUCCCCAGCACCGGUCCCCCACAUUCCUUCUCCCCUAAUCCAUCUCUAAUGGUCAAUUUCUCAUGAAAAUGGCUAAAAGCAACGUCCACGAUCUUUUGCUGCCUCAAGAGGCCUAAAUCAACGGGAACGGUGAAGGACCGGCCAGCACGUCCCCGACUUCUUCCUUACUAAAGUCAUCCAUUAUGCUACUACACUGUACAAUAAUUAUAAUUAUUCUUCUGCAGUUUCGUUUGUCCCCCGGUUCGCCCUCCUCCCUAGUGGAGGACCCAGCGCCCCACAUUCACCCUUUUAUCCUUCAUUUCUGCGUCAUCUUCAAUCUAAUCAACAAACAUUCCCAGGGACAACCUUGUAAUUUCAGCGUCCCACUCUGGCACUCUCGAAUUUUAUAUGGUGGCGUGACAACCUUGUAAUUACGUCAAAAAUUGAGACAUUAAAAUAAUAAAAACAUUUCUUUCCAAGGGGGAUGGGGACUGGGGAGGGGGUGUUAUCACACCCGAUUACGACCUAUAAAUAAAUGCGUCGGUCCCAAGGCCCAAGCCUCUCGUCAUUAAGGUUUCGUUCACAUUUCCCUCUCUCCGGUCUCCGUCCCUAAAAACCCCCCACAGAAAGGAAAAAAAAAAAAAAAAAACCAAUGGGUUCCCGGUACGAGGUUGAGGUCGCGAUUACCUCCGCUAAGGAUUUGAAGAACGUCAACUGGCGUCACGGUCCCCUCAAGCCUUACGCCGUCGUCUGGGUCGACCCUAAGGCCAAAUGCUCCACCCGGGUCGACGACGAGGGCGACACCUCUCCCUACUGGGAGGAAACCCUAGUCAUCCCUUUUGAUUCCCCCAUCGAGGACUCCACCCUCCAUAUCGACGUCGUCCACGCCAAGGCCGCCGAGGACACCAAGCCCCUCAUCGGUUCCACUCGUCUCCGUCUCAUCGACGUCGUCGAUGAGGCCGGCUUGGGCCGCCGGGUCGAGCGCAAGCUCGAGCUUAAGCGACCCUCCGGCCGUCCACAUGGCAAGUUGCAAGUCCAAGUCAGCGUGCGGGAGCCGCCGCGCUACCGUGCCCCCGACCCCUACUAUGCACCUCCGUAUGGGGUCCCACAACCGGGUUCCAGAGAUUAUGCGGCUCCCCACCCAUAUGGUAAUUCCCCCUAUGGGGCCCCACCAGCAAGCGCUUAUGCGGCGCCACCUGCAGGAUACCCCUACAGUGCACCACCGGCUGCUCCCCCUCCCUCCUACGGUCAGCCAAGUUACGGGCAGCCCAGUUACGGGCAGCCAGUUUAUGGGGAGGAGAAGAAGAAGAGUAAAUUUGGUGGGAUGGGGACGGGAUUGGCUGUGGGCGCGGUUGCAGGGGCUCUAGGUGGACUGGCAUUGGCCGAGGGUAUUGAUUAUGCUAAGGAUAAGAUCGCCGACGAUGCUGCUGAGAAGGUGGAGGAGGAUCUCGGCUACGAUGAUGAUGAUGGUGGUGACUGGUGAUGGCCGGAAUUUGAUCGAAUUGUUUCUGAAUCAAUAUACAUAUAUUUCAGAAAAAGGGGGUGGUGGCCCGGGGGCGGGGGGUGAUUUUUAGGCUGGCUUUGGGCCUUGAACUUACAUUUGACUUUGGUCUGGCAUUUUCAUGGCCUGACAUCCUUGUUAAUUGUCGUGAGCUUGCAAAAAUAAAGAGACAUAUUAUAUCGUUCUGUUUCAUUUGACCAAAAAAAAAAAGGUGUGUUCCGUUUCUGUUUACUAGUGUGAAUACCCGUGCUACGCACGGUACUAAUAUUAUUGAAAAAAAUAAAAUGAUAAACAAAUAAAGGUGAAAAAAUUGAACCAACAAAAUUUAAAUGUAAUAUCUAUUUAACAAUAGUUUAAAAUAUAAUAGAAUGUGUAUAUCAUUCAAGAACUGUCUUUUCUCGAAAGAUGGAUCCUGAAAAAAAAAUAAAAUCUAUAUUAAAAAAGGGAAUGAUAUAUUUCUACAAAUGAAUGUAAUUGAAUGUGGUUAAAAUGAAAUACUUACAAAUACUAAGCAUUCGAUUUGAUAAUCUUCCUUGAAGGUGCGAACACUCUUCACACCAAUCCACUUUUAGUACGAAAGCCAAAAUUGGUGAUUUAAUUAACUCUGUUGAAUUUUGUGGAGUGCGUACUACAAAUGAAAAUGCACGAUCUAUGCAUGAAUUAAUUCGUUGGCCGAAUAACCUAUCAUUAUUUUCCUGAUAAUUAACAACGUACGAAAUUAGUGUAUUUUUUUACAUAAUUUAUAAAUAGUACUAUAAAAAAUAAACAUAUAUUAAGAAAUUCUACCUUCCUUUGUAAUGCCCUGAGAUAAGAAGCAUCACAACCAAAUACAAAUCGUGCAUGUCUGUCUUGUAAAUUAAUAUGCAUAUUACCACUGGAAUCUCUGAUUUGUAUAUUAACGUUAUACCUGUUUGACAAAUAAAAUAUUAUAUGCAAUACAGAAAAAUAUAUUGAAGUUAAGUAUACAUGAAAUUAAUUACCUAAUAACAGUGGCAACCACGUCAUUACAAUGCAUACACACUGUCUUUGAAAAAUGAUCUUCACAUAGCUGAAUACCAUUUUCGUUCCUUGAAACCGUUUGUUCUGGCGAAUUAAGGCAACAAUAGCAUCCUAUUUUCUUCCCAAAACAUCCUAUUCGUAGUGAAUAAUAAUCUGUGUGGUUUGUUGUGAAAAUCUAGUUAUGAAAUUUACUUGAUAAUGUUCAGAAUUAGCUUCAUCUUCUUUGUUUUGGUGCUUCUGCACAAGAAUUUAGCCAUAUAUUUUAUGUUAUUGGAGUGAUCUUUUAAAUUCGGUGAAAAAAAUAGCAGUUGAUCAUAUGGUUCUGACUAAUGUGGCCCCGUGGAUCAAGUUUUUUAAGUCUGGACUGCGGAGGGAAAGGUAACUUUAUAGAUGAACUUGGUCUCCUGUGGAUGCCUGAUAGUCAGAUGAUCAGGCAUUUUUGAAAAGUGAUGGCUCUCUCUCUCUGUAUAUGUCCGCUUUUUGUCAGUGUGGAUAUUAAAUAAACGCGUACAGUCACUUAUUAUUCACAACGAAAAGCGUAUCUGCUGUCUAUACCGCACGAAAAAUUAAUACAUUUUUGGGUCUCUCUGUCUCAUGUUUAUUGUUGCCAAUACUAAUGUAUUAGGCUGUAUUUGAGAGUAGGCCAGGGGUGAUUAUUUGCUUAAAGGCGACUGGAUAGACCAUAUGUAUUAAAGAAUCGAAGUUUGGAAAUGUUCGUAACUUAAUAAAGAGUAUAGCCAAAAGGACACUAUUUUUGUACUCUUGCAGCAGGUAGCAGAAUAGAAUCACAAAGAAAGUACUGUUAAAGGUAAACAAAAACUUGGAAAUAAACAUGAAUUGGACUCAUAUAUGGUAGUAGAAAAUGUGGAAACACAGAACUGCGUUAGAGUUAAGACGGUACCCAGAUGAUAUAAAUCCAGGUAGUAUUAUUAGUCUUGCAAGAGCUCUGCAGUUUGGAGUUGGAUGGCUGCUGGUGAAACACCGUUGUUGUUUCCUCUCCUGAUAUACUAAAGAAGUCAAAUCUAUGUGCUUAAUGUCUAUCCCAUUAAUUGUCAAAUACCAUUAAUGUCUAUCCCAUUAAUUACGUUACAGUUAACAUAUUUGACCUUGUUAAAAGUUCUGAAAAAUUACAAAGUAAUUUCAUAAAUUCAUUUUCAGCAUCUGUUCUUUAUUUUCUUAUUAUUACGUUACAAUUGGCAUGCUGCUUAAUGUACUACAGAAGUCAAAUCUAUGUGCUUAAUGUCUAUCCCAUUAAUUGUCAAAUACCAUUAAUGUCUAUCCCAUUAAUUACCUUACAAUUAAUGGGAUAUAUGGCAAAUAAUGGGACAUUAAGUCUAUUCAAUUAAAUUAAAUGAUUAACUUUUUUUGUCCAACUUUACUUUGAAACGAAAUCUAUGUGCUAUCGAGGACUUCAUUUCCAAAAAAAAAAAAAAAACACCAUCUGCCUUUUAAGACUGUGCUAAUGCUUCCCGAUAUUGAAGAAUUCAGAACCUGGAAGAAAUGGCUAGUCAUUUUGUCAAUAGCAUCUGCAUUAGAACAGCCGACAGUUUCAAGCUGGAUUCAAGCAAACCAAAAGGGUGCAUUUCUAGAUCAGGUAUGCUCAUAAUUGUAACUACUCCUUUUGUACCAAUCUUAAUGCAAUAACUGCUACACUGGUAUCUGAAUUCUUUAGUCUCUUCUCAUCCUCUUCACGUAAGAGUUAUUGCUAUGCAAGAUGAAUUUCCAACGUUUCCUGAUGUUGACCAUUAAUGUCUAUCCCAUUAAUUAUGUUACAAUUAAUGGGACAUUAAGUCUAUUCAAUUAAAUCAAAUGAUUAACUUUUUUUUGUCCAACUUUACUUUGAAACAAAAUCUAUGUGCUAUCGAGCACUUCAUUUCCCAAAAAAAAAAAAAAAACACCAUCUGUCUUUUAAGACUGUUCUAAUGCUUGCCGAUAUUGAAAUUUAAGACUCUAGUUAUGAAAUUUACUUGAUAAUGUUCAGAAUUACCUUCAUCUUCUAUGUUUUGGUGCUUCUGCAGAAGAAUUUAGCCGUAUAUUUUAUGUUAUGGGAAGGGGGGGAUAUGGGGGCGUGGGCUACUGGGCUGUGGUGGGGGUUGGGGUUGCGGGGAUAUGGGGGGCGUGGGUUGUGCUUCUGCAUUUUUUAUUUUUCAAGUUAGAAGAAACUCUAUCCCUUGCAUAGGUAAAGAAAAGAGAAUUAAGAGAUGGAGUUCCAAAUAUAUUCUUUUAAUAAUUUCACGUACUUUUCAUCACUUUUUUUUUGUAAAAAAAAGGAUUUUAGGCAAUCAUGAUUUGGACUAAUUCUCAUUUCGCUCUUUGCAUUUUAAUUUUAACAUAUUUGACCUUGUUAAAAGUUCUGAAAAAUUCCAAAGCAAUAUCCGACCUGGAAAAGAAGGUUGAUUUCUAAUGAAGGUUGUGCACAUAAUAUCUUCCAUUACUGCUCACAAAAGAAACAAAAUCAAUACAUUUACAAAAUUAAUAGAAAACCAAAAACAAAUAAGAAACUAAGAGAGAGGGUGAGGGAAUUAACUCGAUAAGUUAAUUAAGUCAAUCAGUAUAAGGGUUGGGAAAAAAUUAUAGACAUAUUAUAUUAUUGGAAAUAAUCAAAAAUAAAAAAAUAUUACAAUAUUGGGACUAAUAUUUGGAAUUACAAUGGAAAUGCCAAUAUUUAAAGAAAACAUGAUACCAGAUUUUUUAAUUUGGUGCGAGCGACGUUUUAAUCGGUGUAGCCUGGAUUUUGUCCUUCGGAUUUUAUUUGAAAUUUAUUUUUCGUCAGCGCAAACUUGAUGAAGCUUUUCCAACUGGUGUGUGGAAUCGUUGCGGUGUAUGUUUCGUUUCCUAAGCAAAUGUUUCCUCCGUUGCAAUCUUGCGAGUUUGAAAUCUAGUUGUUGUUGAAAUGCUUGUAGGCGGGCAUAUUCCAUGGUGAGGAAACUUUAGAUGGGUUCCCUACAAAUUUUGAGUGGAAAAUUUUAAUAUGUUAAAUAAUAGGACAACUUGAAUUUGGGAUAGCAGAUAAGUGGGGCAAAGUUAAAAAAACACAAUAAUACUAAUCAAUACCUAAAUGAGCAGGGUCACUUACUGAAAGGUAGUCACCGCCGGCUUCUUGACGUCUGCCAAAGGUUCAAGAAAAAAAGUAUGAUGCGUACUAAGAAGAGCACCGGAGUUGUGGUACCAAAGCUGCAUCAGUUUUCAUUGGUCAAAAAGGGCGUAAGUUAAUAGUAUUUUCCAAUGGCUAAAAGAUUGCAAAAUUCUAACAUACACAAACAAUAUUUAUGAUGUAAAACAGAAACUUCUAAUUCCAAUAAGCCCAAAAAAAGUCAUACUAAAACAUUAACAAAUAAAGAAAUCCAAAAAAAGGAAUAGGCAGAUACAUUUGGAGACGGCACCAAGAUGGACUCAAAUAUCGAUGAAGAGGAUGAAGCAGAGGACUCCUUGGACCCAAAAAGAUCAGAAGUGAAUGAAGAAGAAGAACCAGAUUGCUUUCUUUUGUGAGAAGUGUAUGAUCGCUCCUAGGUAGUUAAUGGCGGAAAUGUACAUAUACUAAAACGUGGUAUGAUGAUAGUGGGAAACGUGGGAGGAAAUAUAGGAGUGGUUAUAGGGUGAAUUAAGAGAUAGUGGGAAUUUUUGAACUUUAAAUUUGAUUGGUGAUAAGGUGGUUAUUAUUCACUACAUUUUAUGUAUUAAAAUAAAUACAAAAAUCUAGAAAAAAGAAUGGGAAGUUUAGAAGUCAUUGAAAGGGUUUCUGCUAAAAACCCCUUCUCAAAUUUAUAUAGAUAUAGAUUGGGCAGUCUUUUUGAGAACUUCCCGAACAAAAAGUCCGCCCAAGUAUUGUGAAACUCAGGCCCAAAAAAGAAAAGAGUAUAAAGGAAAGUAAACGAAAACAAUAACGAUCAGCCCAAAGCGUUCUAGUUUUCAAAAUGACAUUAAGGAAGGAAGAAAAGAAGUAUAAUGAAUCAAGAUGGCAAGCAAUACACUAGUAUGAAGUCAGUGAUGUUUUCAAUUACAAGCAAAAUUGAGUGAGAAAUACUUUUUUGAAUCGAGUUGAGUUGUAACGGAAAUUGGCACUCCUUAAGAUAUAUGUCAAGUGUCAUAUUUUAUUAGAAAAUGUAAACAAAUACAAAAGAUGGUAGUUAAAGUUAAAUAGAAAAAGUAUAUAAAUAGAAUAAAAGAUAAUAAUUGUUAGUAUGUAUAUAUACGUGACAGAUUAGAUUAAUUAUAUAUGUGUUAAUAAAUUGUAAAUGUGUUAACGAGUGUUUAAUUGCAUUUGUAAUAAUUUUUUCAUUUGAAUGAGAUACCAAGUAAAAGCCGAAUCAAGAAAUUCCUAAUUAUCUGUAAGUAUGACCGAAUUACUCUGUAUAAUCUGCUCUAAUCUAGUUUAAGGAAAGAGGGAGCCGAGGCGAUUUUUCGUUGAAGGAAAUCACAAUUAAGUGACAGCCACAAUUAAAUGGCAAGGUUGGAGGUCAAGGGUUCAACUGUCUGAUGGUACUAACAGCCCUUGACCUCCCACUCCCACCAAGACCGGCGAUACUAACAGCUUAAGAGGCUGUUGGCAUAACCUUUAUCGUCCAUUGUAUGAUCAACACACACAAACUCAUAUAUUUGCUAUUAAACAAUUCAUUCCAAAUCCCCGUUAACCCAACUGGUGAUAAAUCUCAUUCGCUUAAGACGAAAUUUUUAUUAUCAUGAAUGCCAUUAUCUUCAAACAAUUCUUCAAUAACGAUGAAACCCGCAUCAUUGGGAUAUAAAACAAACCUAACCAAAACUUGACUCUUAUUAAACUUCAAGAAAUUGACUAGGAAACUGAAAUGCUUGGCUUAUUUUCCAGCAUUAUUAAGAGGAAAAAGAAAAUCACAUGUCCGUGAACAGAUGUAUUUGUCUUGAAACUCCAUCAAUCAUAUGCAUUACAUGCUGGCUAAUUGGAGUGGAAAAAAGUUUUCGAGACUUCCACGCUGCCAGUCCCAAAUUAGUUCCCCCCGCCCCCAAAUUUUUUUUAAAAUUAAAAAGCCAAAUUUCAAGUUGUAAUAAGUACACAUUGGUCAUAACAUUCAUAUUUACUUGUCAUGAAAGUUGGAACGCCGUGUGGUUAAAGAAUUUAGAGGUCCGUUAAGAACACUUGAGAGAACUUUUGAACGGCUCUGAAUCUUGUCAUCCUUGAUUGAGUAGAAGUUUCAUUAGUUUCCUCUGAGACUUAAAGGAACAAGCAAGCAUGCAUCCCUUGCAAUUCAAGGCUUCCGAAAUUGCCGUUGUUUGCAAGCAAAAACAUCCUCUACAUAGUACAUAUACGGGCUAGCUUCAAAUGGUUUUUUCCGGUUUCUCCUUGGCCAAAUCAGAAGUGAGCUUUGGUAGGUGGAAAUGUUCAUCUCCAGGCAUUAUAAACUUUGCCUGUCAAAAUUCUCUACUACUAAAUUUUUUUCUUAACUGUCUUCUGCCUCCUAGCGAAUCAUAGUACAUCUUGUUUAUUAAUAUCAAAUUUAGGUUUAUUAUUCCUUCCUUUACUCCCUUGUCACGAAAUUCUUUUCACCAAAGUUGGAGGAACGUCCUUUCCUUUCAAGCCUUCUUUUAAUGCUUUUUGCAGGGAAUAUCAAGAACCGUGAUCCACAAAGCAGGAUGCCGAUCAGAAUCUGUCGAGGCAUAAAACAGCUGUUCACGCGCACUGGUACGGUUUUUUUUUUUUUUUCUUAUUUUUCCCCUCUCUUUCUCUUUUUCUUUUUUUUUAAAAAAAAUUUAUCUUAAGAAAUUACAACUUAUUCUAAUCUUACCGUCUAUGAAACAAAAAAAAUUGUUAAUGACUAUUAGCCUAGGCUAAAAGUAGUCGAGUAAUCACUUAGUAAAACUUUUAAUAUUAACUUUAAAAAUCUCUUGUCAAUACUAUAAUCUGCUAGGAAACUAAAGAGAAAAAAAAAGAAAUGAUUGGGUGCAUAGAUUUUUCCUUUCCUUUUUUGGGUGCAUUAUUUGAUUAAUAAACAAAGGAAAUGAAUGUAUAAAAUCCAGAACCUACAAAGACUAUAUGUAAUGUAUGGGGGUGAAAAAAAGAACCUAGUAUUUUGGCCAGGAAAUAGGACCAUUAGUGUCGAAAAUGUGAAUAGGGAAGAAAAGAGCCUAAUUUCUUUUUUAAAAAAUAAUAAUUAAAAAAAGAAGCAAUUACCGAAACACCAAUAGGUGGGUGGCACAGAAAUUGCUCAGGCCCACUCUUGAGUUGGGAGUGUGGAGCUUGAAGGCAACGGAUCAUGAUUCAUGACACAUUAUUAUUACUGUGAUCGGCCCCGCUACUAGCGGAAUUUAAAGUGCCAACUCCCCCACCGUGGACUGUAAUGUCCUUUCAGAUGGAGAAGGAGAACUUCGACAGUAAAUCCUUUUUGGCGACCGGUUUAGUUACGACUGAGUUUAUUACUCUUUUUACUUUUUCGUCUUCCUCUUCCACCCAUAGGCAUGCCACUGAAAACAAGUGGGCAAUGCAAAAUAUUUUUUUUGUGAAUUAUAUCUUUCACGACGACGACGACAGUCGCCUUUAACAUUUUAAGAAUUGCCGACUUAAAAUCCUUAAAACCCAAAUCAACAGAGAUUUCUAGCUAAUCAUGGGAUUUUGGGGAAAUGCAAGCAGUGAAAAGGAAAGAAGAAAAGUUGGUUGGUUUUUCACCAAAAAGAAAUCAAACAUUAUUGGCUUUCAAGAAUGUAGGAAAUUGAUGCAGGGACUGGAAUGGAAGGCCCGAACGUUUCGGAGUUGGAUCUCCGGGAGGAAUACGCAAUGCUUUCCGGACCGAGUCAUACAAUGAGUUUUGGGAACGGGUCCUCGCACUGGGCCAAGGAAACUCUGUGGCCCAUUCAACCUUGGGGUCCACCACGGCUUCUCGACUCCCAUCUUACCGGCUCUUCGUCGACCAUCUCCUGGAUCCUGAUCAACCCACUGUCACCCGGAUUCUAGACUUGACCCGUACCCACGACCCACAAAGCCAAGCUCUUCUCUCCGAUUACUUCUUCGAGACGGCUAAUGCUUCCUUCUUGUGCAGUCAUUUGCUCAGAGACGUGGAUCAAACACGUAUCAAAUACAAAUCCUUGAAAAAAACACUCGAUACCCUUCCAAUUGUUCAAAUCUCACCUAUUAUUCCUUUAUCCGUGUCAUCCGACCGACUACUGGAAUUCUUAAAAUCGGUUAAUCCAUUCGUACCAUCCGCUUCGUCUCCCGAUCGUAUUCAGAUGGUUCAAACCCAUUGUUCCGACUUACUGAAACGGCUCGAGUCGAGUCGUGACAAGGCUCGAGUCAAACUCCAUCUAAUCGCUAAACUCGAACGCGGCUCGGCGGUGUUUCUCGUGGUUCUAACGGCUUCACUGACCAUAAUUGCUGCAGCGCAUGCUUUGGCUUUGCUGGUGGCCGCCCCGUGCUUGAUAGCAACUUCGCUGGAGCUGGUUUCGGCAAAGAAGCUGGCUAGAGGGUCGGCUCAGCUGGAUGCGGCCGCAAAGGGGACUUACAUAGUGAUGAGGGACUUGGACACGAUAAGUCGGCUGGUGGGUCGGCUAAGUGAUGAGCUGGAUCACAUGCAUUCUGUAGUCCGGUUCUCGCUGGAAAGAGGAGACGAUCGGCUUCAAGCCAGUGGGGAAGUGGCGCGCCAGCUGAAAUUGAAUGGCAUGAUCAGCUUUACCGAUCAGCUCGACGAGUUAGAGGAGCAUUUGUACUUGUGUUUCAUGACCAUUAAUAGAGCCAGAAACCUGGUGUUGAAAGAAAUUCUGGAUCCAGACCACGCCUCCGUCUCCAAUUCCGCCCCCGUCUCCAAUUUAUUGCCUAGACUAAAUAAUUCACUUUAAUAAAUAUUUUGCAUGUACUAGAACUAGUAGUAUAUAUUUUCAGAUACUCAACAUGCAGAUAUUGCAAAAUAAAUAAUUUCCUUUUCACAAACUUAUUAUUUCUGGGAUAUUGAGGAACACAUAAUACCCAAUGCGGUCCGAAAACAAAGGUAUGUCCCGCACAUGUCCAAAAUUUCUCUUCUUUCUUGAUUUGUUAAUUAUAUUAUGAUUUAUAUGCUCGUGUCUACAUGAAUUUCCUAUGAUAUCCUCCCGGUUUUGGUCCCAAAGAAUUUGGAUUAGCUAGUACACUUUUGUUUCGCCACUGUAGCAUAAACCUAACCUAAUUGGUUACAAAGCAACCAACCAUAUAUCAGUAUUGAGUAGAAGACUAAGAUGAAACGAAAAUGAGGAGUCAACCAGUAAAAAGAGUUAAAAAGGGGUGCAAUUUCAUCGUGGUAAAAAUUAAUUAGUUAAUGCAAAAAAAGAAAAAAAGGAUUUUGCCCACUUUGCCCACCCGACCCCCUCUGGUUUUAUUUCAUGGAAAAUGGGUUGAAAUAGGGCAAAGCAUUGGCAGAUGUAGCUGGUCCUGCCUCAGCAGGGAUUUUGUUUGACCUUAAUCCCAGGGAAGCGGUGUGUGUAUUGUGUACUCUGUAGUUACUGCUUAAAAAGUAUACGUGGCAGUAAAUAAUGCCGGCAGAUUUUUGCUUUCGUAAUAACUCGAUUCCUGUCAUCUAAGCCACUAUGCUCUAAGCAUAUUUAUGGAUGAUGAGAGGAUUUUUGACUCUUCUUUGAGUGUCUUGGUACACUUUGUAUGGUUAGUUGAGCAGUUGCUCAAAUAUUGUACAGUUUUAUUAUCUAUAAAAAGUCAUCUAUCGUUUCUGGAAAAAAAAAAAAUAACUCGAUUCCUGUCAUCACCACAUGUCACAGCAAUACCACAAGUCCCCUAUAAAAAUUCUUACAAAUCGUUCAUUAAUACAUAAUUUAUAUCAGUAAUAAAAUUUGAACAUACGAUCUUUUAUGAGAAAAUGAUCCGUUCUUAUUAAUUGAAUUAACUUAUAUUGGUAAUGCCCGCAGGUGAUUGAAUCAUGAGAAAGGGAGGUUGAAUUCAUAUUUUGUUGAAGGUGACCUUUAACCAAUAACCAGUCUUCCGUUUGGAUUGUCAUUUUUCAUUAAAAUAAAGGAUUAAUCUUUUCUGUACUGACAGUAUAUACACCGUGAGUAUUGGAUGAAUGACAAACAUGCGAAAUUUGAAUUUAAAAUUUAACUUUUGUGUACAUUUCAUGAAUUAAUAGUAAUAAUAUAUACACUGUCAGUAUAUAUAAGAUUUACUCAAAAAAAAAUUAGAAUAUUCUCCUUACACAUAUUUCAAUUAUCGUUUCAUUUCAUUACGCUGCAUUGUUAUUUUUUACAAAAAUUCUAAAAAUUAGCAAUCUAAACAGAUCCUACCCAAGCCUUGACGGUGCCACACUACUUAAUUAAUAUACUCAUUAUUGCAUGUUGCAGCAACAUUUAUUCGUUCUGCGGACUGCCUAUCUGUAUGCGUUACUUUCCACACCACCUUUGGCCUUGUCCUUUAAUGGUCAACUAUCUUUAUGGUCUGACAUUUAAUUUUUCUUCUUUAUGAUCUUUUUAGAAAAGCCAAAAUUUUCUCAGUAAUUGGUAGCCUCUUUGGUUGCUUAAAACUUUUUACAUCCCAGCCCGACCUCCUAGCCACUAAUAUCUUUUGAUUGUGAAUUACACUACUGUUAUCCUUUAAUGGCCAACAUUCUUGUUGGGACUUUUCUUGUUGGGACUUGGGUCAACAAAAUGCUUGGAUUCUUUUCAAAGUCUUAAAAACUUUUGACCCUAAUGACUUGUUUGGAAGUUAAGUUUUUUAUCAAGUUUAUCUGUUAUAAAUUUUUUAAAAAUUUUAGUUAUAGUAACCUCAAAAAAUUUUUUAUAAAAUACAAAAAAUUUUUACAAUAAAUUAAAGUAAAGUUUUAGACAAACAUCCAAAAAACUUACCUUCCAAACGGGGAGUUAGCAAAAUCUGUCUACUCUGCUUGGAAAGUUUUGAAGCUAGGAUCCUUGCGAGGCUAAAAUCUCCUGCAAAUUUGUUUGGAAAGCAAUUAUUCAAAUGCUACAUUUUCUGUGAUUAUAUUUUUUAAUUUAUAUAGAUUAAAUCGUUAUAAUAAUUUUUUUUAUAAAAAUUUCAGAAAAAUGCAAUCCAAACAUCAACCAAAUUUUUAUAAACUGAUUUCAUGUCCGCCCUUUUGUCUAAGAAGCAAUUUCAUGAGUGUCGAACCAAAAGGAGGGGGUUAAAAAAAAUGAGAUCAAGUUUCUUUGGUUGGUAAACCCGUCUGAAGGUGUUUGUUCGAUUUAAAUGAGAUCAAGUUUCUUUGGUUGGUAAACCCGUCUGAAGUUGUUUGUUCAAUCGAAGUAUGACUAGUUAUAGUAAAUUGCAUGGUGAUUAAUGAGAGGAAGUUGGGAACAGGCGAUAAGAUGUACUGUGGAUAGUACUAUAUCAUUUGCUUCCCCCGGUAGGCUUGUUAAAUUUAGUACCUCACUAAGCAGAAAUACAGCAAAAAUGGGUGAGAACCAGCAUUUGCCUAUGCCUCCCUCAACUUCCACCGAAAGGAACAAAGCAGAAGGGGAACAAUUAAUGGGUCACAACCAUACCCAUCAAAGUCAUAAAUGCAUCCCAACCACACCACUCGUCCAAGUCUAUCUAUUCAGUGUAUAUAUAUGUUCCCUUUGCCACAUUUUAUACGAGCAAGAGAAGGAAAAUCUUUAACACCUGCAAGUUUUCUGAGGUUUUCCUUAGCGAUCAACAACAAUGGCAGGUGAACUUUCGAAGGACGAGCAACAUAGUCCCUUAGGAAAUGUCAAAAUCCUGAGCGCUAGCUACGUCAAGCCUAGAAAAGCACUAGGAAGGAAGGAGUGCCAGUUGGUCACGUUUGAUCUCCCAUACUUGGCCUUCUACUACAACCAGAAGUUGUUGAUCUAUAAAUUGGGGGAUGGUGAAUUUGACAAGGCAGUGGAAGAAUUGAAAGAAAGCUUGAGCCUGGUGCUGGAGGACUUCUACCAACUGGCGGGAAAGUUGGGUAAAGAUGAGGAAGGAGUGUUCGGGGUGGAGUAUGAUGAUGAUAUGAAUGGUGUGGAGGUGGUGGUGGCGGAGGCACCGGAGACGGCUGUGGCUGAUCUGACCGAUGAAGAGGGCACCCUCAAGUUUAAGGAGCUGUUGCCUUACAGCAACAUCCUCAACUUGGAGGGGCUUCACCGGCCACUUUUGUCCCUGCAGGUUACGUUACCUAAUUACCUCCAUACUACUUAAAUGCUUCUUAAUAAUAGUAAUAAUCUCAUGCUGUCUCACCAACUUUAAUAUGCAUGUUACAUCAACCAUUCAUUUUAUAAAAGGGGGAAAAAAUUCAGCAGUUUGGGUUAAUGUUCUCCAGUAUUGGUUUGAAGAAAUGCUAAUGCCGAAACUGAAUUUCCCAAUCCAUAUUUUAUGAUUCGCACGUCACAGCAUAAGGAAAUCGCAUGCGCCAUUUUCACUUGUUUUUUACGACGAGUGCUUGAUAACCUUCAUUCUCACACCUCUUCUUCCGUGGAAGAUUUAAGCCUUGUUUGGAUUAUUGUCAUUUUUUUUUUCCAAAAUUUUUAUAUUUAUAUUUAACAUAUUUUUUUUAAUUAUCUUUUUAUCCCGCAUUUUUUCAUUUAUUUUUAGUUAAUUCGAUACGUCUUUAGUUACAUGGUUCACAAAACAACUUCUUAGUCUUGACCAAAUACAACCAAUGGCAAGUAUUAUACUAUAUCUCCAUCAAGCAUCAAGAUAUGUGGACCAAGGUUCGAAACUUCAAUGAGUCGAUAAAUUUUGCGACUUAACAAUUAGUUGUUGCUUGUUGAUUUCCUUCAACCAAACAAAAAAAGAAAAAGAAAAAGUUGUUAUUGGUUGAUUAUGUGUAACAGCUGACCAAGCUCAAGGACGGACUAUCCAUGGGCUGCGCUUUCAAUCAUGCAGUACUGGACGGUACCUCCACAUGGCAUUUCAUGAGCUCCUGGGCCCAAAUCUCCAGCGGAGAGAACUCCAUCUCUGUCCCACCCUUCCUGGACCGCCCCAAGGCCCGUAACACCAGAGUGAAGCUUAACCUCUCCAAUCCUUCCGACGCACCAGAGCACGCCAAGUCAGCGCCCAACGGUAACGUCAACGAAGUUAAGCCCGGCCCACGACUCAGAGAAAAAGUCUUCAGGUUCUCCGCCACAGCCAUUGAUCAGAUCAAGGCCAAGGUCAAUGCCAAUGCCAACGGAUCCGACGGCUCAAAACCAUUCUCCACAUUCCAGUCUCUUUCCACGCACGUGUGGCAUGCUGUCACGCGUGCCCGCCAACUCAAGCCCGAGGAUAUCACCGUCUUCACAGUCUUCGUGGACUGCCGGAAAAGGGUGGACCCUCCUAUGCCGGAGAGCUACUUCGGGAACCUCAUUCAGGCCAUCUUCACCGGGACGGCGGCGGGGUUGUUGCUGGCGAAUCCACCCGAGUUUGGGGCUGCUCUAAUACAAAAGGCCAUCGAGAAUCACAACUCCGAAGCCAUCGAUGCGCGCAACAAGGAGUGGGAGAGCAACCCCAAGAUAUUCGAGUUCAAAGAUGCCGGAGCGAACUGCGUCGCCGUGGGAAGCUCCCCACGCUUUAAGGUUUACGACGUGGAUUUUGGGUUUGGAAGGCCGGAGACGGUGAGGAGCGGAUGCAACAACAGGUUUGAUGGGAUGGUGUAUCUGUAUCCGGGAAAGAGUGGAGGUACAAGCAUUGAUGUGGAGAUCAGCUUGGAGGGCAGUGCCCUGGAGAGGCUGGAGAAGGAUAAGGAUUUCCUCUUAGACUUUUAGAGGCUUGAAUAUUUAUUUGGUUGUGCAAACUUAGACUAGAAGUUUGUGUAAUUUGAUGAUGGAUUGGGAAAAGGUUAAAAAAAAAAGAAAGAAAAAAGGCUGCAGGUCUCCUGUUAAGUACCCUCAAGCCUUGUUUCCCUGGAUUGUUUUGCGAUUUUAUGAGAAUGGUUUUGGGAUUAUAUAAUUUGCUUGUGCUAGAUGUUAAGAUCCAUCUUCAUGUUUUUACAUACGGAGGAGAAUUUCUGAAUUGUUGCUUUCAAGUUUUAAUCAUAUGAGUGUGUUUGGAUAGUAAAUUAUUACAUUUUAUUUACAUCGUAUUUACACACACUAACGUGCUUGCAUCAUCAAUAUAUUUUUCAAUUACCUUUUGAUCUCACGUACGUUAUAUAAAAAAAAAUGCUACAGUUUUUUUUUUUUACAAAAUUAUUUCAAUUAAUUUACAAUCCAAACAAUAAUAAUAUCAUCGUGAAUUUUUUUUUUCCAAAAAAUAAUUAAAAAAAAUCAUCGUGACCGUUGCCAAAGAACUUGAGAUUAUGAAACGACUGGCUAUACAAUUAGGAAAGAAACAUACGCCAUCUACGCUUUGAAUGAGAGGGGCGGGCAACCAUAACAUACGCCAUCUAAGCACUGGCUUCUCAAAGUGAGACUGGGAAAGGCUGCAAUGGGGAUUGUGUCUUUGCUUGAUUAAGAACACAUCCAUGAAAAGAGAGAAGAGCCGCUCUAGUCUCCGGAAACUACUCGCCUGAUUAAAAGUGAUUGGCAAUUUUCACUCCCACUGAGAAAAAGCUGUACGUUAAUAAUUCACAAUCCUUUUUAUCCCAUCCCUGCCAUGUACACCAAGAUAUUUUUUACCGUCCACUUUCCUAUUGUGAAGUAUACAUGUUAAAUGUUUCUAAUUUAAUCGAAAACUUCACGUACGUCCAGAAAUUAGACUAUGUUUUGAGUUUGAUGUUAUGGUGAAUUUAUUCAGUUUAUAGACUAAUCACCAAAUAAAGAUAACAAAUGCUAUGAAAUACAUUCAAUUGCAAAAACUGACAAAGAGAAUAGGGGUGGAUUCACUUGGACUAACCACUUCACACUAAAUAACAAAUGUCAUAAAAUACAUUUAAUCCAGAAAAACUAAAUAAGGGAAUAGGAGUCAAUUAACUAAUCUAACCAACAAAACUGCAGUUGCAUAGUCUCAGGUAUCUCUCUCAGGCUUCCCAGGAGAAGGUAUGGCU